UAUGGCCAUAUCAUGUUGAGACACUGGUUCCUAUAUGAUCACCAAAGUUAAGGAAUGUCAAGUCUGGUUAGUACCUAGAUGGGUAACCUCUUAAGAAUACCAGGUGCUGUAUG